AGAGGGUUGAGGGAGGCUGAGAGAGAGGACGGGAUAAAAGAAGAGAUAAGGUAGAGAGAAAGGGGAGUGAUUGAGAGGGAAUAAAGGGGAAAAAGGAAGAGAGAGAUAGGAAAAAUUUGAAGUGGGUGUGAGGGAAAGGAGGGAGGAAUAUCCCGUGUGGUUGGAUUAGGACGUCCGCACCGGAAAAUCAAUUUUCCCGUGCGGGCGACACCCUAGCGCCGGUUCCCUAUUUUUCCGUGUGGUUCCACUUAUGGACCGCAUGGAAACAAAAAGGGGGGCAUCCAGUAAAAUCAAUCGUGCAGUAGUGCGAUGAGCAAUGUUUAUUUUGACUGUCAUCAUCCAUGCACUAAAAAAAAUAUGAGAUCGACUUUAGGUGUGAAAAGAUAGAUAUUUGCUCCGGUCUAGCAAAAAGUAUAUCGAGUUACCGGUACCUCAUGAUAUCAAAUCAUUUUUGAUCGUUAGAUCUAGUUAGGUAGGAUUGGCAUUGUUAGAUCCAAGAGAUUUGCUCCGUUCCAACGAUUAAAAACGAUUUGAUGUCUCACGGUACCGGUAGCUCGAUGUACUUUUUAUUGGAUCGGAGCAAAUCUCCCAAAGAUAACAUGGGAGCCUCCGUGCCUAGUUUUACUGUAGUAUGGGUUGUAUGGGGGUAAAUAUGGGGUUAAGUUGGGAGGAACUAGGAAGGAGUGCAAUGUCUCCAUGGGGGAACCGAUGAAGCUAAGCACCCAUAAAACUAUAUUGCAUUUGUUGCUUCCAAUGACCAAUAUAAGCAAGAACUUGACACAGUUCACUACUUUUUUCUAUUGAAGCAAGAGAUUACUAGUACCCUGCUUUGGUUGAAAGCAUAUAAGGAGGUUUUGGGUAUAGGACAGCUGUUAAGGACACCACCUUACUAUUUUAUUUCCCUGUUCAUGUCUGUACAUAACCAUGCCUGAUGUAUCUGCAGACGGUUCGAUUGAUUCAGCGGCUAAAAGAAAGGGAUCACUCUGUCAACAAGUUGCAAAUUCUGAAGGCAACAAAAAAACAAGAUAUUCAGGGCUAGACCUUCCAGAGGAAAUCUGGUGCCAUAUACACUCCCUAAUGGCAUUCAAAGAUGCCGCCCGUGCUACAUGUGUGUCUCGUGCUUUUCAUCGUUCCUGGCAAUGCCAUCCCAAUCUUAUAUUUUGUAUUGGAAUACUGGGCUCGGAUUUCAUCAACAAAUUUGAUCGCAUUGUGAAAAACCACUCAGGCAUUGGCAUCAAGUCGGUAAACUUUGAAUAUGAUAGUUCUUACAAUACUAGAAGGAGCACUAGCAUCAGCCAUCAUUUUGAUAGUUGGCUUCAUAUUGCUAUUACACCAUGGAUCGAAAAACUCUCCCUUAGGCUAUCUCAUUAUUCAUAAAAUGUGGAGUACAACUUACCAUGCACAAUUCUGUCUGAUGGGAGAGCAAGCUCAAUGCGACAUCUUUAUCUUGGCAGUUGUAGCUUCCAUCCCACAAUCAACCUUGACUUGAGAAGCCUGAUGAAGUUGCAUCUGUUUAAUGUCCAUAUUACAGGAGAUGAGUUAGGGUGCCUUCUCUUCAGUUGUUAUGCUUUGGAGUGGUUGGAACUUGAGCAUUGUGAUGAAAUAGUUUGCAUGAAGUUUUGAUUUUGGAGGUAAACACGUACAACUCUUGCUUGGUGAAUCGUUGCAGAUGAAGACACUAUCUUUGCAAUACUAUUGCAACGCUGUCUAUUAUGCUCGUGUAGAGUCUAUACCCAAUGUGCCAAAUCUUGAAACUCUCACCAUUUGCUCGUAUCACGAGAUGGUUAACACACCAAUGUUGCCUAGCAAAUUCCUCCAUCUCAAGUGUUUGACUAUCGAUCUUGCUGAAGUUUCCCAUGCAUAUGAUUAUUUCUCUCUAGUUUCUUUUCUUGAUGCUUCUCCUUUCUUGGAGACUUUACUUCUGGGUAUACCAAAGGACAGCAUGGAGGAUGACUCAAUUUUUGGAGAUUCCUCAAAUAUGAGGCAGAUGCAAGAAUAUCGUCAUGACAACCUCCAGAGUGUGGUGAUCACUUGUUUCUGCUCCGCGAAGAGCUUGAUCGAGCUAACAUGUUGUAUUCUUGACUGUACAACGUCACUUGAGUACCUUACACUGGAUACUACUCGUGGUGUUUAUAGCUGUUCUACAGGUAAACACAGCCAAUGCUUUCCUAUGGACAAGGCCAUGAUCCCUAAAGCCAACAGGGCUAUGUUGGCUAUCGAAACAUAAAUUGAACGAAAAGUUCCUUCCACAGUUAAGUUAAAUGUUGUGAAACCUUGCCCCCGUUGCCAUAUAAUUGAAUCUUAGUUGUAAUUCUUUUUUCAACAUGAUUAUCUUGUGUGUUUGUUCUCUCAUGCUUUAA